UUCUUGGAAGAGGAUGGGCCAUGGCCCUAUGACAUUGUCUCCCUCUCUAGUAUUAAAAUCAUGUAAUUGAUUGUAAAUGAAUAUAAAAUUCUUUGAAGAGACCAUUAGAAUUGUCCUCAUAUCACUUCUGACUUCUGUGUGAGUUCUUGCCUUGUGUGAAUUCUCUAUAAAAUGGUCUUUUAGGCAAGCAUGUGCUUGGCAUUUAUACACAAUGGCUAGCCCAUUGGAGAAUUGCAUUCUCUAGAGUAGAGUCUGAAUUCUUGGCAGUUCAGUUGGAGAAGGGACCUCAGGGUCUAGACCUUAUCUUGCUAGGCAAUCUACAGAAUUUUCAGAAGACAAUUCAAUUAGAAAAAUUCAAAUUCUUGGCAGCCCAGAUUAUAUAGGUUUCACAGGCAUACAACAAUGAAGUCAGCAAAAUGGCUCUGUAGACCUUCAGUUUGGUAGGCAGCCUAAAUUAUGCCUAUCCAUUAAAGUUCAGUUUAAGUCCCACCUUCUCCACAAAGCUUUCUCCAACCAUUGCAUACCAAAAUAAUCCCUUCAUCUCUUCCUCCUUUCCACUUACAUCCAAUAUCAUUUUGUUUAUCAUGUGUAAAAAAAUCUAUUUUUUCUAUUCGAUUAAAAAAACAUAAUAGCUAGGAAAGAAAACUGAAUAGUUAAUAUUUUUACCAUCAUUAUUUACAUGUAGUGCAUAACCAGGAUGUUAAUGGAGAAGAAAGGAUGGUAAGUACAUUUGGUGACUCUUUUGGUCAUAACUAUCGCUUUGGAAUAAAUCAGGCUAUUCUUGGAGAGAGGAUCUGAUAUGUUGAAUCCUCUAAAUCUCAGGAAGGAUUUGUUUCAUUGUCUGGGCUUCCCAGGGAAUUUCUCAUACCUGUGUUUUGUUUGUUCAUGUUUCCCCAGUGUGCCAGCCUACAAGAAGGCAGUCAAGAGAGUUGGAGUCAUUGGGGAAAUGUUUUUAGAAGAUUCAAGGAGUGAAUUGAGUCUUGAUAUGAUGGAUAGGAUGUGA
rnacentral:lncRNA from 1 species